rnacentral:rRNA from 1 species
UUGGAGGGCAAGUCUGGUGCCAGCAGCCGCGGUAAUUCCAGCUCCAAUAGCGUAUAUUAAAGUUGUUGCAGUUAAAAAGCUCGUAGUUGAAUUUCGGGGUUCUACCGUUGGUCGGGCUUUGUCUGUACUGGUGUGUAGAAUUUCUACCUUCUGGGGAACCAUCAUGCUAUUAAUUUAGCGUGGUGGGAAACCAGGACCUUUACCUUGAAAAAAUUAGUGUGUUCAAAGCAGGCUUAUGUCUGAAUACAUUAGCGUGGAACAAUAGAAUAGGACGGUGGUCCUGUUUUGUUGGUUUCUGAAUCACCGUAAUGAUUAAUAGGGAUAGUUGGGGGCAUUAGUAUUCAAUUGUCAGAGGUGAAAUUCUUGGAUUUAUUGAAGACUAACUUCUGCGAAAGCAUUUGCCAAGGAUGUUUUCAUUAAUCAAGAACGAAAGUUAGGGGAUCGAAGACGAUCAGAUACCGUCGUAGUCUUAACCAUAAACUAUGCCGACUAGGGAUCGGACGAUGUUAAUUUUUCUUGACUCGUUCGGCGCCUUACGGGAAAC